CGUUUUUAUUCUGAUAUUCGAGUUUCGAAGAUUUCUGCAGUGAAAAUUCGAUCUUGUACAAAAUUGCAUCUUUUCGACACAAAAAUCGCAAUUACGACGAUUUCUACAUCGAAAUCAUUCAGAGAUACAUUAUCCAGCACUAUCUCGCUCAGAUUGAAAUCGACAAUGUGUAAAUAUUGGACAAUGUGGAAUUUAUAAUGGUCCAAUCUCGUGUUGUAAAAACAAAUAUUGUGAUGCGAUGAGUAUGUAAAGAAUCUGGUGAAAGAAGAAAAUUCAUGGACCGAAGCAUAUGUAAACUUAUUACGGGCACAACUGCUCAACAAUUUUCUGUAGAAGAUAAAGUCGAGGAAAAAAGUCCAAG